UACGUAGGGUGCAAGCGUUAAUCGGAAUUACUGGGCGUAAAGCGUGCGCAGGCGGUUAUAUAAGACAGUUGUGAAAUCCCCGGGCUCAACCUGGGAACUGCAUCUGUGACUGUAUAGCUAGAGUACGGUAGAGGGGGGAUGGAAUUCCGCGUGUAGCAGUGAAAUGCGUAGAUAUGCGGAGGAACACCGAUGGCGAAGGCAAUCCCCUGGACCUGUACUGACGCUCAUGCACGAAAGCGUGGGGAGCAACAGG
rnacentral:rRNA from 1 species